CAGUGGUCAAGAGCACCAGUUGCUGUGGCUGAGGACCUGGGUUUGGUGUACAGCACCCACAUGGUAGCUCUCAACUGUCUGUAACUCCAAUUCCAAAGGGAUCUGACAUCCUCUUCUGGACCUCACAGACAUCUACCUGUACAUACUUUCUUAACCAAAGAUAAUCUCCACAAAGGCAGGCACAACUGGUCCAUCUCUGCAGCCGCAGACUCUGAAACAGUGUCUGCCUGGCACAUAGUGCGACCCUAUUUAAGACCUGUCUGGCGAAUAGUUGGACCUUAUUUGAGACAUGGUGGAAAGAGUAUGUAAACCCCAAUCACAUGCAGCAGAAACGUAGACUUGUUUGGAGUAAGAAGCCCACUCCUUUAAUCACAGCACUUAGGAGGCAGAGGCAAGCAGAUCUCUGAGUUCGAGGCCAGCCUGGUCUGCAUAGUGAGUGCUAGGUCACCCAGAACUAGAUAGAGAGACCCUGUCUCAAAAGCAGAAAGUACACACUUGUAUUUCAAUGAGGCGUGCGUGUAGUUUACCAAUCACGAAUCCUGGGUACCGAGGCUGCUCGGCGUUCCGCGCCUGCGCAGUCAUCGGCCGAGGGGUCGACCCACAGGAAGGACAGCGGCCGACGAGAGCGCGCGUUGAUGACGCCAUCGGUGUUUGCCUGGUAGCCCGUAGUAACCUGGAGUCUGCGGAAGUGCAGCUGCAGCACUGUCGGCUGAGACAGGAAACUGAAAGUUGUGGAAACAUAACUUGUGAUUCUGAAUGAUAGAGGAGAUAGGAAGCCACAGCUGAGAUUGAGCAAAGCCACCAACUGCAGACUGCACCAUGGACAUAAAGCUGGACCCUUCCCGGGACGAUCUGCCUCUCAUGGCCAACACCAGCCACAUGCUUGUGAAGCACUAUGUACUGGAUUUGGAUGUGGAUUUUGGAAGUAGAGUCAUUGAGGGUACUAUAGUUCUUUUCUUUGGAGAUGGAAACAGAUUUAAAAAACAGACGAGUUCCACCCAGAAAACCUUCCAGACGGAGUCAGAGGAAGACUGCACAUUUGGGACAGCUGAACCCUGCGAUGUUCCUGAGGUGGAUGCAAGUACCUAUUCACCUCAGGUGGGGUAUAGUGAAUUUGCAGUCUGUGGUAAAGGUGAUCAAGAUGCCUUCAAUAACGAUGGUAACCAUGACAACCAGGAACAUGAUUCUGAGAUCUCUAGCUCAAAGUACUGCUGUGACACAGAGAAUCAUGGGAGAAAGGAUUUCUUGCUAGUGUUGGACUGCUGUGAUUUAUCUGUGCUAAAGGUAGAAGAGGUGGACGUGGCUGCUGUGCCAGGACUUGAGAGAUUUACAAAGGCUCCCAAGCUUACAACUACUCCUGAGAAGCUCAGGCGUGAGAUUGUCCGUGACCUUGUGGCUCUGCCUGCAGAUGGUUGGAGGGAGCAGUUAGACUGCUACACUCGCUGCAGCCAGGCUCCUGGCUGUGGGGAGCUCUUCUUUGACACUGACAAUUGGAGCUUACAGAUCAGGAAGACAGGGGCUCAGACAGCUGCUGACUUUCCUCAUGCCAUCAGGAUACGGUAUAAAACUAAACCCGAGGGGCAGUCAGUGACUUGGACCUCAGACCAGAGUGGCAGGCCGUGUCUUUAUACUAUGGGAUCCCCCAUCAACAACAGGGCCCUUUUUCCAUGCCAGGAACCACCUGUUGCCAUGUCAACAUGGCAGGCUACAGUUCGAGCAGCUGCAUCUUUUGUUGUUUUAAUGAGUGGGGAAAAUUCUGCCAAGCCCACCCCACUUCGAGAAGGGUGCAUGAGCUGGUAUUACUACGUGACCAUGCCAAUGCCAGCCUCCACCUUCACAAUUGCAGUGGGAUACUGGACAGAAAUGAAGCCCAAGACAUCCCCAUCAGAUGAUCUUGUGACAAAGCGCCCUCUUCUGCUUUCGAAAGCUGACUUCAGAAGAGAGCACGUCCAGGUCAGAUGGGGGACUGGGAAAAAGAAAGCUGCGGAAGCCCCUGUUGGGACCUGGGGAAGGUAUGCUGAAACCUGCAGUCAUGUAGAAUACCCCUGCCGAUUCCAGAAUGCUUCUGCUGCCACCCAGGAGAUCAUUCCUCAUCGAGUGUUUGCCCCACUGUGCCUUGAGGGUGCCUGCCAAGAGGCCCUGCUGUGGCUGAUCCCUCCUUGCCUCUCAGCUGCGCACUCUGUCCUGGGAACACACCCUUUCUCCCGGCUGGACAUACUCAUUGUCCCUGCCAACUUUCCAAGUCUGGGAAUGGCCAGCCCACACAUCAUCUUCCUCUCUCAGAGCACCUUGACAGGCAUGAGCCAUCUCUGUGGGACCCGUCUCUGUCAUGAAAUUGCUCAUGCCUGGUUUGGCCUAGCCAUCGGGGCCCGAGACUGGACAGAGGAGUGGCUCAGCGAAGGGUUCGCCACUCACUUGGAAGAUGUAUUUUGGGCUGAAGCACAGCAGCUGCCCCCUCAGGAGGCCCUGGAGCAGCAGGAGCUGAGGGCUUGCCUGCGCUGGCGUCGCCUGCAGGAUGAGCUGCGGAACUCCCCAGAGGAAAUGCAGGUGUUGAGACCCAACAAAGAGGAGACUGGCCAUGUGAGUGCUUCAGGUGCAUCUGUUGUCAAGCAUGGACUUAAUCCAGAGAAGGGCUUCAUGCAGGUUCAUUACUUAAAGGGCUACUUCCUUCUUCGAUUCCUAGCCAGAACACUUGGAAAGGAAACUUAUUUUUCAUUUUUAAGGAAAUUUGUACACCUGUUUCAUGGACAGUUGAUUCUUUCACAGGAUUUCCUUCAAAUGCUGUUGGAGAACAUUCCAGAAGACGAAAGGCUCGGCCUGUCUGUUGAGAACAUCGUCCGUGAUUGGCUUGAGUGUUCCGGAAUACCCAAGGUCGAUGGCAUUUCACCAGACCUGCAUGAUAAGAGGCUGUUCCUGGAGCACAGGAAGAUGAAGGCCAAGUCCAGCUUUGUUGGAGAUCUGGCUGAACCUAAGAAUGAAUUGUCAUGUCCCUUGGGGGAGUUUAAGCACCAAUAGUCCAGGAAUAUCUGGGAAGUAUGUAUGUGUGCGUGCUGUAGGUGUAAUCGUUUGUUUGUUUGUUUGUUUGUUUGUUUGUUUGUUUUCGUAGCAACACUAUUAGUUACCAUAUCAGAGAGGAUCAUUAGGUGGCCUGCUUGGGACAGAGAGUACAGCCCAGUAGUGGAGUCCUUGCUUCGGAUGCAUAAUGCCGAGGCUCAGUCCUCAGUACUAAAAGUAUAAGAGGGGAAAGGAGACGGACAGUAUCUUACACAUUGUCCACUUGGUUGGGCUCUGCAUAGGGUUCUGGGUGGCACUGAUGAGUUCAGGGCUGCACUUACAAACAGGAAAAUGUAAGUUUAGGCAGGGAGCAGAGCCCAUAGUGGGCCAUCUGGUAUGAGCCACACUUCUCUUAGGAAAAUUAUGCUGUGGAAUUACAUUCACCUAGCAGAGCUAAAAUUGCCAUCAGAAAGAAACUAGGGCCUUCAUCCUAACACUGAUAAAACAGACAAUAACAUACAAGCUAUAUACAGUUCUUCUAAACUCAGAGAAAACAGUGUAUAAGGUGUGUUACAUUCAUGCAAAAUUUAAAGCUGUAACGUUUUGUCAGUCUGCUCUUAAUCCUGACUUGUUCCUGCUGCUUACUCUAAAGGUAACUCUAGUUCCAGACCCCAUGGGUACCUGUUGUUUUGUUUUGUUUGUUUGUUUGUUUGUUUGUUUGUUGCUCAGACUGGUCCAGAACUCACGGUCCUGCCAUUGCCUCUCCAGUGAUGACAUUACAAAUGUGGGCCACCAGGCCUGUGUAUGUUAGUAACAGAGCCCUUAGCUUGUUUGGGAGCCAAAGUCCUUGGCUUCUCUCUGCAGAUGGUUCUCCCUUGGCUUUGCCCAGGGGAGCAUAAUUUUCUGUCUGUUGGAAUAAUUAAAGGGCUCCCCAUGUUUGCCCUACAGGCUUUCCUGUGGACCCUCCUCACGCCUCUGUGCCGUGCUUCAUUCACCAAAUAGAAGCAGGAAGAGAGCACACACCCCUCUCAAUAAGAGAUCGGCAUCACUGCCUUUUCCUGUGAGAGGAAUAACUUCCUCUUCCACUUAAAAAAAAAAAAAAAAGAUUAAAAAGGAAAACCAAAAAAGACGUUCUCUGAAGAUAAUCUCUGUUUCUGCGUUGAGCAGGGCUUUUGUUUGAAAGCAAAAGCAUUUCCUCAAGCUCUGAAAUUGCCUUUGACUGUUACGAACUGCUUUGACAAAAAGUUUUUUUGAAAAACUUCCUUUCCAAAUGUGCCUGUCAACUAGCUGAGACAUUUAAAAAGAUAUAAUUCAAACAUAAAAUGGUUCAUUUUUAAAGGAUAGCUUGAAAGUGCUUUUGUCACUCUGGAAGAUGCCAGACUAUCCAUUCCCAACUCAUAAACAAGGAGGGAUUUAGGUAAACAACAGAGAAAUAUGUUCAGGUUGUGUUGAAUAAUUAAAAACAUUAAUUUUUUUAGUGUUUCACUUUUUAUUCUGGGUUAAGUUCAGCCCCCAAACACCAUUUUGAGAUGUAACUUGAAUUGCUGGUGUAUAGGGACCUUUCAUUUUCUGUUUUGUUUUUUUUUUAAGUCAUUUAGAAUUGUGUUCCUCCUUUUUUUAAUUUAAAUGCAGAAUUCUGUGCUUUUUACAAAUGGUGAUAUUCUAGCAGUUAAAGAAAUUGGAGUUAAUUAGAGAAGUAAUUGUAAGAUUUCACACACACACACACACACACACACACACACACACACACACACUUGAACUGUGUGCCAUGUGUUCCUUUGUCCCUGUGUACUUCUAUUCACUUCCAAUAAAAUUUUAUUACAUUUAUGUGUUUACUUAUUUAGUGUGUGAGUGUGUGUUGGCACAGGUGCCAUGGAGUGAGUGUGAAGGUCAGAGGGAACCUGUGGGAGUGGGUGUCCUCCCCCCACCAUGUGGGUCCUGGGGACUGAGCUAAGACUGUCAGGGUUGGUGGCAGGCGCCUCUAUCCACUGAGCCAUCCAGGUCCCUUCACUUUUAAAACAUGGAGUAUUUGUUGUGUGUUGGGCGGUGUUGUGGUGACUAGACAAAAAUCAAGGACAAAAACAACAGGAUGUUGCCCUUCCAGGAGCUUAAAGUGUGGUUAGGGAGGUAGACAUUUGACCAGUUAAUAAUAAAAAUAAAUCAAUAAUAGAGUGCAAGAUGGCUUAGUAGGUGAAAGUGAUUGCUGCCAAGGUCGCAAGGUUGACAGCCUGAGUUUUACCCCAUAUCCCACAAGGUAGGGGAGACUUGCCCAGACUGACCUCUGACCUCUGACCUCCACAUACGUGGCACGGCUUGUGCACACCCACACCACAUACCCACAUACCCACAUGAUAAAUUAAAAAUAAAUAGCCACAAAAAUUGUACCAAACUAAGUGAGCCUAAUGUAGGAUGUGGGCUUUUUGCAGCAUCUUAACACUGGCUCUUCGGGCAUGGAAAUGUAGAAUGCAAUUGCAUUUUAUAAAAUACACAAUAGUAAUGGCAGGGUGAUACGCCUUCUGAAGAUCUGAAAAACUUAACUGCUCUAAAAGUGAGGUCUCAGUGACAAAGAGCGAAGGAAGCCAAUACAGGCAGGGUGCUACUAGAAUACUGGGGAAUCUUAGAAUUGGAACUUGAUAGUGAGGAGGGACCUUUCAGACAUGAUACUUCAGGUAAGAACCAGAGGCAGGUGUGUUUUCAGUAAAGCAAAGCGAUGGAAUUGCAAUUUCCUUUGGAAAGACACCCGUGGCUUCUCUAUGGGAGGGAGUGUGGAUAAGGGAACAGGCUGGGAGGCAUGCAGACUGGGCCCCAGCCUUGGAAGCUCAGCCUAAGUCUCCUGCUCCUCAUGCUGUGCCAGCAUGGAAAAGACUGUGUAGGUGGGGCCGAGUUCCAGAUCUGUGUUCCCAAAACGUUACCAGUGGUUCUGUGGGGUUGUAGAUUUGAGAACAAUCUCACAUGUGAAAAUUAUAAGGCCAGCAAUAAAAGCUGUUGUAUACUAUGCAGCUUCCCAGGUUCUCGUAGGUGUCUGUGUAAACUUAGUUUGCAAUAGUUAUCUUUCUUCCUAUUAAUAAACUCUGCAUUGGGCUGUUUGUAUUAGUGUUUCUAAAGGUGGUAAACACCCAAGGGGAAUAAAUGAAUAAAGGCAGUGUCUGCCAGGGUGAAUAUAUAUUGAUUCUGGAAUUAUGAGUAGCAUGAAGCUUGAGUAGUUCAAAGUUCUCUUUCUGUUUAAAAUUAAGUAGAUCUGCAUAAUGCAAUGUUGGUGAUUUACAUGUUUAUGUGUAUGCGAGACUUUCCAAAGCAUUAACCAUUUCUAUGAUUUCCUCUUAAAGCAGAAUAAACUUGGUUGUGAUGGGUGGACAGUUUAUGUAAAGUCACUAAAUAUGUGUAAGACACUUAGCAAAUAUGAAUAUGCAUUUUAGUACCUGGAUAAUGAGGUACAAAACUGACUGCAUCUACUUACAUUCUAGAGUUAGGUUUUGGUUUGGUUUGCGUUUCUAGAAAUAAAAACACCGCUAAGAAUCCCCGACUCGAGCAGGCCUGUUGUUUAUUUUAGGACAUAAGCAUCUUUAGUGGCCUCAUGAGGGUCCGGCUGUGUUUGGGAAUGGAGGGUACAAUAAAGUUUUCCACUCUGGUGUCUCAUUAAGCAGCCCUCUUUGUGUAAAGUACUCUGUGGCAAAGUUGCUUCUAUUUAAAGUCCCCAGUUUGAUCUUGGCUUUGAUCUAAACCUUUUGAUCUUGAAAGAAGGAUGGAGUAGCAAUAAAGAGGGCCGACAGAAUUUCUUUAAAGAAAUGCGAUAAAGUUAAGGGCGGUCAGAGUCAGCCAGCACCGGCAGCAGGGCAGCCUUUCCUCGGCCUGGCUGGCACGGCCGGCCGACAAGGAAAAUGGGGCGCUGCGGGAGGAGCGCGAGGCCGAGGACUGCGCACCGCGUGGGCUGACAGGACGAGUGGGCUCGGAGGUGGCGAAAUGGAUUCGUGUGAACCGCAGACCCCGAAAACGCAA